UGUAUUUUUUUCAGUUGCAGAUUUGAACUUUAGAACUCAGAAUUCCUAAUUCCUGGUCCAAUGUUACUUCUUUUUAGUCCUUUGUUGUGAAGUACCGUACACAUACAGAGAAGUGGAGACAUCAUUAAAUACAACUGCAUGAGUUUCUAUAAGCAGAACCUCCAGAUGAAGGAAGAGAACAUUUCCGGUUAUAUUCAUGGAGUGGUGGUUACCAGGGCUGUGCCGAGGCGGCGGGAGGGCCAGUGACUGUGCGUCCAGCGUUUCAUUUGGGGAAGAUGAAACGAGCUCUAGAGACGGAUGGUUGCACAACACUGUGAAUGUACACAAUGCUACUAAACUGCACACUUAGAAAUGGUUAAACUGAUAAAUUUUGUUAAGCAAAUGUUACCACAAUAAGAGAAGAGAGAUCAUCGCCAGAGCCUCAAAGCUGUGCUCCUUCCUUCCAGCCCUUCCCCCCAGCCCACCCGUGCCCCAGGGUUAACUGACUAAAUUGAAACCUUAUACAUUAUCAGGGACCAUGCAGUCUGGCCACUAGUUUUCCACACUCGGGAGGGAUAAAAGAGAAAAGCACCAAGCUUGUUUGCCUGAGGUCCCACAGAGUUUACCCAUGAUGACUUCCCAGGUGACUCUUGAGUUGAGUGGGACCGUAACUGUUUCUUGAAUACGUGUUGGAUGAACAAAUGCGUUUUAUCAAGUCAUAGCAGAUGCAGAGUUCAUGAAGUUGUUAAAUAUGCACAGCCGGGAGGAAGAGAUAGGACGCUGCAUGUCUGCAUGUGGCGCCCGGUCGUCUGGUCCAGCCCUCUGCAUGCUUGGCGCCCGCCCUGCUGAUGUGUAAUACCUGACCUUGAGGUUUAAUAGCCCGUUGACUCGCCUACUUUCUGUGUUUCUUCACCUGUUUCCUAAAGUGAUAUUUGUUACAAAGGAAGGACUGUAUGCAAUGUAUAUGUACGUUAUGAAUCAGAAUAAUAAAGCAGAAACUCACAGACCUGCCAUCUAUCUAUGUCAUGAUUUUAAGUCACUAAAAUGUCAUUACAUCUGUAGUGUUAGUGUAUGCCUGUGUGUCGCUGAAAUUCUGAGCGUGUCCUCAUGUCUGUCCUUCUGGCAUCUGUUGGUAUAUGAGCCAACGGGGAAGUGGCACCAAGAUCUGGAUCGAGUUGUAGACAAGGGCUGAGGACACACUGAGCCCAGAGGGUGUGUGGCAUUCUCUCCUGGACAAGUUCACGGUUCUUCCCGCCUUGCCUGCCAGCCUCGCAUCGAAACUAAGCACUGCCGACGUACUUGCCGUGUUUAAUCGGCCAGAGGAAAAGUGUUUGUUCCCCUUUAGAAAGGUUGAGGUGGUGGUUUCUGUUCUUGCUGCAGCUGCAUACAGACCCUCCAGACUCCACAAGAUCAAUCAUUUGCCUGUAGCUUUCUGAAUUUUGGAGUCUGCUUCUUAACCUUGUUUCUCAAAAUUGAAAUUUAAAGAAAUCUCACUACACUGGUCUAGGAGUCAAUAAUACUCAUUUAGUCAAGCGGUCAUUACUUUUCAUGAAGAACCUGUUAGGUGGAAAAGUACCGAUCUUUAAAGUCUCAGUGAAAACUGAUUUUUCUCUCUUAGAAUGGCACGAGACCCCCCCUGGGUGCAGACGUAAAUUUGGAAGCCCUUGCCGCUGACCUGCGCUGUGAUUGCUAUUCGGGUGCAGAUCUCUCUGCUUUGGUUCGGGAGGCGUCCAUCUGCGCCCUGAGAGAGGAAAUGACAAGACCGAAGGACGGAGGUGAGACAGGUGACCUCAAGGUCAGUCAGAAGCACUUUGAAGAAGCUUUCAAGAAAGUGAAAUCUUCUAUAUCAAAAAAGGACCAGGUGAUGUAUGAAGCUCUGCAGCGGUCCCUCAGCCGGUGACCCCGGCAGCAGCUGGCCUCGGAGCAGGACAGUGCGUCCAGCCGGCCGAGAAGCCCGCACGCUCUGAGCUGCCCGCUUGCCACCUGCUGCGGAUGGGGUCCCAUGUGCGCAUGUUAUUCCCAGAGUGACGUGGCCGGUCAGAGCCAAAGACUCUUCCCAUCUGGCCAACUGGGUGCGGGAACACCCUCCCCACUUUUUAAGAACAAGAAAGAUGUUUAACUGCUCAAUUAAAAUAACCGAUAACUUUUUUUAAAUAAAAUGUUUAUUUUGAAACUGUC